rnacentral:rRNA from 1 species
GACAGAGGGUGCAAACGUUGUUCGGAAUUACUGGGCGUAAAGCGUGCGCAGGCGGCUUUGCAAGACAGAUGUGAAAUCCCCGGGCUCAACCUGGGAACUGCAUUUGUGACUGCAAGGCUAGAGUACGGUAGAGGGGGAUGGAAUUCCGCGUGUAGCAGUGAAAUGCGUAGAUAUGCGGAGGAACACCGAUGGCGAAGGCAAUCCCCUGGACCUGUACUGACGCUCAUGCACGAAAGCGUGGGGAGCAAACAGG